rfam:Apaloderma vittatum contig24905, whole genome shotgun sequence.
UCAAAGGCUUCCUUCCUGAGAAAUCUUUCAGAAGCCAAACACAUAUUCAAAUAAAUGAACU